rnacentral:rRNA from 1 species
GUAGGGGGCAAGCGUUGUCCGGAUUUAUUGGGCGUAAAGAGCGUGUAGGCGGCCAGGCAGGUCCGCUGUGAAAACUCGAGGCUCAACCUCGAGAGGUCGGUGGAAACCGUCUGGCUAGAGUCCGGAAGAGGAGAGUGGAAUUCCCGGUGUAGCGGUGAAAUGCGCAGAUAUCGGGAAGAACACCCGUGGCGAAGGCGGCUCUCUGGGACGGUACUGACGCUGAGACGCGAAAGCGUGGGGAGCGAACAGG